AACCGCCGUAACUGCCGCGCCCGGGGGAGGCCCGGAGCUACACGCUCCAGGCUGGGGCCCGGCCCUCCCGGCCUUAGUUUCUUCCCUUCCCUCAGUGGCCUGGACCAGGGCGGAGGGGUGGAAACGACCUACCCCAGAGACGGAGGGAAGACUAGGAUGAUACCUGGACGGCAGGUGAAGAAGGGCUGGGCGCAGCUGUCCAAGAUUAGGAGACUUUGUUUGUCCCCCCCAGGUCCAUGUGGGAAUGGAGCCGCCGUAUUAAUACUAAUACCGGGGUCUGGCUCUCUUACCCAGGCUGGAGUGCCCUGGCACAAUCUCAGCUCACUGCAUCCUCCGCCUCCUCGGCUCAAGCCAUCUCCCACCUCCGCCUCCCAAGUACCAGGGACCACAGGCACACACCAGCAUGCCUGGCUAAUGUUCAUAAUUUUUUUUUUUUUUUUUUGUAGAGAUAGGGUUUUGUCAUGUUGCCCAGGCUGGUCUUGAACUCCUGGGCUCAAGUGAUCUAUCAGCCUCAGCCUUCUGAAGUGCUGAGAUUAUAGGCAUGAGCCACCAUGCCUGGCCUAUUUCAGUUUCUAUAGUUCAGAAGUCUGAGCAUGGCUGAGUUAGAUUCUCUGCUCAGGGUUUCACAAGGCCAAAAUCAAGGUGUUGAUUGGGCUGCAAUCACUUCUGGAGCUUGGGGUCUUCUAUCAAGUUCACGUGGUUUUUGGCAGAAUUUAGUUCUUUGUGGUUGUAGGGCCGGGCCUGCAGUUCUCUUGCUGGCUGUUAGCCAGCAGUGCUCAAAGCUCCUGGAGGCCCCUGCGGUUCCUUGCCAUGCCCUUGCACACUUCCAAGCUCUUUCAUCAGAGGAAGCCAGGCACUUUAUGGCCUCACCUUAUCAGAUCAGGCCCACUGAGGAUAAUCUCCUAUGUUCAGGUCAGCUGAUUUGGGACAUUUUUUUUAAAUCUAAAAAAUUUCAAUUUCGUCUAUAAAAUCUCUUCAGAGUGGCACCUACAUUAGCCUUUGACUGAAUAACUAGGAAAAAUGUGUAUGCCAGGGUUCAAGAAUCUUUGGGAGCCAUCUCAGAAUUCUGCCUACCAUGAUGCAUAAUAAUCAUUUGAACUCAAUAAAUUAUAUUUAAAACUA